rnacentral:tRNA from 1 species
GGGGCAUUAGCGCAGUUGGUAGCGCGUCGCGUUCGCAAUGCGAAGGUCAGGGGUUCGAAUCCCCUAUGCUCCA